rnacentral:rRNA from 1 species
CCUACGGGAGGCUGCAGUGAGGAAUAUUGGUCAAUGGACGAGAGUCUGAACCAGCCAAGUAGCGUGAAGGAUGACUGCCCUAUGGGUUGUAAACUUCUUUUAUAUGGGAAUAAAAUGUUCCACGUGUGGGAUUUUGUAUGUACCAUAUGAAUAAGGAUCGGCUAACUCCGUGCCAGCAGCCGCGGUAAUACGGAGGAUCCGAGCGUUAUCAGGAUUUAUUGGGUUUAAAGGGAGCGUAGGUGGAUUGUUAAGUCAGUUGUGAAAGUUUGCGGCUCAACCGUAAAAUUGCAGUUGAAACUGGCAGUCUUGAGUACAGUAGAGGUGGGCGGAAUUCGUGGUGUAGCGGUGAAAUGCUUAGAUAUCACGAAGAACUCCGAUUGCGAAGGCAGUUCACUGGACUGCAACUGACACUGAGGCUCGAAAGUGUGGGUAUCAAACAGGAUUAGAUACCCUUGUAGUC